GGAGCUGAGGACUCUGAAAACCUCAAGAAACGUCUCUGUUUACUGGAAGACCAGACAGCGCAUCAUACAAACAUACCCUCCGGGCUUUCUGUAGGAGGAGGAGGAAGUCUUUAUCUUCCAUCACAAAAGGGAGGUCAAAAGGAACGAGCAAGUACCAGGCCAAGUCACUUCUGUUGUUCUAGAGUUCAUUUUUGGAGGAGAGCCAUUCUCGUUGUGUAACACUGAUGCAGCAUAUUUCAUUAGCUGUGUACAGAUCCAAGAAUAAAUUUUGGCCUUGACCGUGGAAUGUUCACCCACUUUCAAGUAUGGAUGUGACCUGCCUUCUUCUGCGACUAACAGGGUAACCAGAGGCAGUGGAACAUACACCAGGGCUAGAGAGAAUAAAACCAGAGGGAAAGCAAGCUGUCAAGAGAACAGUGUACUGAAAAGGAAAAAUGUAAAACAUGACUUCUAUUUACCAUGAUUAAUAUGUAAAGUUAACAUGUUUGUCAUGGAAUAUAUUAAUAUGUAUGUUUUCCCAUUAUGUAGAUCUUUUCUUGUAUUACCUAUUAGAAAGGGAUAUAAUCACAAUGAUGGGGCAAGAAUGCCACUUAAAAAUUAGAUGAUGCCCAGUCAACAUCAUAGAACCACUACAGUGUCAUUUCUGAUUUAGAUGUAGUGAUAUCAGUGUAAUUGCUGCUGGGAAGAAAUUAUAAUGGCUGUUAAUGAUAAAUAAAAUGACAAGAAGGAGGAUCCUCCUUCACCUAUUAUUCCAAGCAAAACUCAACUGCUGACUUCCUUAAGCACUCAGUGCCACUUACUGAUGAAGAGGAAAUAAGCAGGUUUAUUGUAGCAGUAUGGCCAUACAAACUGCACUGUCAUUUCCUAAGCCUGAGCUUAGACACUAUGGGUCUAACAAGAUUUCACCACACUAUUUUCACGAAUGGGAGAUGUAAUAGUGAAGCUCACAUGAAGUGAAUUUUAACACAAAGUUAACAUUAUUCUAACAGAAAGCACUGUAGCUAGCAAACACAAACAUAAGCAAAAAUAGGGUGAAGGCAAGUAUACAGUCAUGCACAUGGAUACUUUUCAAAGCUCUUAAAUACUCCAGCUUUGUCUCUGUAAACAUAGGCAGCCUUAACCCAUGGAUCAAAAGACCUUCCUACAUUUGUUUUAUAUCAUAAAUGUGUCAAGAAUGAGCUACACAAAGCAGUGUUCACCCACUGCACAUGGCUUGUAAGCCUAGUUGAGAGCAUCUUUCAACUCGUUCACACAUUAAAAGCCAGGAAACCAACAUCUGAUUACUAGUUCUAGCAUUAAGAUCAAAGACCAUAUCUUCCCAUCUGUGAAGAGCAAGAGCCCAAUUCUUCUUACUCUGCAAUUACAGAAGACUCGGAACACAAAAUCAACAUUAUGCUCCAUAUCCCAUGAAUAACACAAUUCCAGUCUAUAAAAGCACAAAGCACCAAGUAUAACAUACAUACAUUUUUUUUCCUAGAUGUCAUGGAAAGAAGAUAAGUACAAGCAAAUCUGUAGUCACAUCUUCACAAUGCUCUCAGUCUGCAGCCACACAAAGCUCAGUUUGCUUGAGCCACGGGCAUUAUCCUACUGUGUAAAAUUAUGACACCUCUUAAAAGGGAAAACAUCACAUACCUGCCAUUUACUCUGCAUUUAGUAUCUUCUAAAUCAAUUGGUAAAUGGUGGUGUAAGGGUUAAAGUGAAACAAUGCAUUAAAUUAAAACCACAGAAAAGACACAGGUGGUGUUUGUUGACCUGUUAUUUCAUUAUCAUUGCUAGGUUUUUAGUUACCCGUUAGUCCAGGAAGCUUAAAAAUACAAAUAAAUAAAAUGUCAACCUUAACCUGGAGAAUGAACCUGCCCACUUUCAGGUGAAACUGAUUUUCUAAUUCAGUUCUAGCUGAUGCAAACUGGUUUACUCUUGAACACAUAUAGCCAAAGAGAGCAGGGGCAGUGAAAGAAGAUAGAAGGAUGAAUAGUGUAUAACAUGUUUUGCAAAAUAUGGCAAAUUAACACAGAGAAGACCCUACUAAAACUUCUGAACCACCAGUCUAGCAUUUUGAGGUAUAUGGGAUUUUUCUCUUUAUUUUGGUGGCCUGUUUUACUACAGGGUAUGUCAAAGGAGUGCAGAGAUCUGCCAAAACCCAGCUAAUUGCUUUGGCUCCCUUGCAUGAAGAUCGUUUGCUGAUAAAUUGUUACAGACACAUUUAGGCAACAGGUUUUUAUAAGAUGCCUCAUGCUUUGUAUAAUGCAGUUUUACUUAGUAUAUGCUUUUUCUUAUGCAUUGUGUUCUUUUGCUGGCAAACUGUAACGAUGAAAUCUGCACUCUUCAAGUGACUGAAUCUUCCCCCAUGUUUCCUGAAUUUCAGCUCUCUUUUGGAAACAGUCAUCAAAGGAAAAGGCCUACCUAGUGUUUAGUAACAGGAAUUUUAUUUUAGUGCCUAUUUUAUGUUUGGGAGAGUUAGAAGAAGAGAAAGUGGGCUGGGUGGAUCUUACUCAUUUGCCAGCUUCACAAAAGAUGCUCAGAACACUUUCUUUUAGAAAGCAAAGCAUCUUGAUGUGCUCCAAAGGAGCUGCAAAGAAAAGCCUUCCUAUAGUUCGUAUGUUGAAAGACUCCUUGCAAUAGGUACACAAACUUGCUUUGGUAGUUAAUGAAAAUCUACCAAUUCAGACACAUCCAAACCUCUGCUCACCAGUAGAGUACCAAGGAUGCACGCAGGGACCCCAGCUGUCUGCCCUUCUUCCAACAAUGGUAAGGUUCUUCAGGCAGCAAGGUCCUCCAGGUUCAUGUCCUUUUCUGCACACACCUAACAUCAGGUACUGCAAAGGUGUUAUGCUCUUGGUUUACCUUUAAGCUGUGCUGGCAUUUGCAUACAAGAUGUCCUUUCCAUGUCCCAUGUGGAAUCCAGCCUGGUAGACAUUCCUGUGAUAUGAAUAACCCAGCCCUGAAAAAGAGGUGAUCUGAGUUCCUAUAUGAGAUGAAGGCAGGGAAGAGAAUUAAAUUCAGCUUUUCAAGGCAAUUCAAAUGCACACGUUUUAGAAGUGCCCUAACCACAAAAAUAUGGGACUAUUUCUGAACAAGCAUAUCCCUUUUGAAGCUGCUUUUCUUGAUAUAAAUUAUAUUAAAUAAAGUAGGAGCCAGAACUCAGGCACCCUAUACCUGACUGGGUAUCAGGAUCACACCUUGAAGUCACUUCCUUUCUCACUAGCCAUAAUGCUUUCCUCUGCAACACCUUGUUUUCUAGUAUCUCUGUUGCACAAGGAGCAGAGGCACUGCUCUGCAGCAUGAGAGUCCUGUUAGCAGAGUUUGAGUCACAGUUUCCUACUCUGCUACUGCUGCCUGAAAGCACUUUAAGCUUUACAUCUGAGCAUCUCUACAAGCACCCAGAUCUUGAUGCCUACUUGCUUACGCUCACUCUUGUGCUUGAUAACAGUCACUCUUAGUAUCUGCACUUGAUGAGGAAGGCAUCCUUCACCUUCCAGAGCUCGGUGUGGGUUUUAGCUGUGCAGGUACUUAACUGGCUGAGAAAACGGAGUGCAAGUCUCUUCUCUCCCAUGUGAUCGUGCUAACCACUGAGCUAAACAGUCUGUUCAGGUUCACUCGGUGUUCCUGACCUAGUAAAUGUUUGUAAAUCCAACAUGAAACACAUCAGCAAGAGACCUUGGAAGAGCUGCACCCCACAUCCAGUUAUACAGCAUGUUGUGACAGCCCUCUGUGGCUCAGCCUGGGGAUUAAGGACUACUGUGGCUUUCCCAGGUGAAUCAGCAGCAGGAAUUCCUUUGGGAAGAGUGCAAUUACCAGGGAUGGAAUUUAACCAGAAUUAACAUCCAGCUCCUGUGAAAACACCCAUCCUUAACAAUCACUGCUGGUCAGGACUGUGGUUUUGCAAAGAAACCAAGGAAAACAACAAGCUGGUGUCCAGUGCAGUGAUUGCCCCUGGGACUUGCCAUGGAUGUGGCAGUGGUGCAGCCUGCUUGCUUGCCUGCACUCCCUUCAGAAGAAGCUCUCUUCCAGCUUACCCCCCAAAACCCUGCCUCAUCCCAGCCUAGUUCAGCCUGGUAAUGUCCAUUGGACUUUUUAACCACAGGCCAUAGUACUGUAUAAUUAUGAAAGUACUUUAUAAAAGAUUUUCAGUCAUACAUCACAAAGAAAUACUCGGAGGUCUUGAAAAUUUCAUGCUUCACUGCUGUUUCCACAUGCUCCAUGAGCAAUUUGAAGUACAAAUGUGAAAAUGGACUAAACCAUCUCUGCACCUUCCCUGGCCCCAUUUUCCUGAGGCAGACCUCUCUAGCAAAAAAGCAUUUCCCUUGACCACUGCUGGUCAAAUGGAUAUGGCCUGCAGCAGAAAGAAAUUGGAGCUAGCACUUCAGUUUCCCUUCACGGACACCUAACACCUUGCACAAUCUCCUACCCAGCCCUCGCUGUUGUAAUGCUAUUCUUCAUUCGGAUGUAGAGGACUACCUGUGAUCAUGGAGAAUUGGGGGGAUAAAAGUGAAUUGAAAAGUGUUAUUUAUAGCUCAGAAAUAAAUAUA